rnacentral:rRNA from 1 species
UACGUAGGGUGCGAGCGUUUGUCCGGAAUUAUUGGGCGUAAAGAGCUCGUAGGCGGUCUGUCGCGUCGAUCGUGAAAACUUGGGGCUUAACCCUGAGCUUGCGGUCGAUACGGGCAUGACUGGAGUUCGGCAGGGGAGACUGGAAUUCCUGGUGUAGCGGUGAAAUGCGCAGAUAUCAGGAGGAACACCUAUUGCGAAGGCAGCUCGCUGGGACGUCACUGACGCUGAGACGCGAAAGCGUGGGGAGCAACAGG